UACGUAGGGGGCAAGCGUUGUCCGGAAUCAUUGGGCGUAAAGAGCGUGUAGGCGGCUUGGUAAGUCCGCUGUGAAAGUCCAGGGCUCAACCCUGGAAAGCCGGUGGAAACUGUCAAGCUUGAGUCCGGAAGAGGCGAGUGGAAUUCCUGGUGUGGCGGUGAAAUGCGCAGAUAUCAGGAGGAACACCAAUGGCGAAGGCAGCUCGCUGGGACGGUACUGACGCUGAGACGCGAAAGCGUGGGGAGCGAACAGG
rnacentral:rRNA from 1 species